UUUCAAUUCUUUUUUAAAUGUAGGAAACUUUGCAUUAAACAAGGCCCAAAGGGCAAGACAUACAACAGGCCUAAAAACAAACAAAUCAAAAGGUCCAAACCAAUAUCAAAAUAAAUAAACCGGAAUUCCUAGCCUAGUCAAGGACAGAGCCAUCUUUACAUUACAGCGCUGUCGCCAACCUCGCUGCUUUGAGCUAGAAACGCCAGAAGGAAGAUUUGAGAACCCAUCAUCUUAAUGAAGAAAAAAGAACUACUGCACAAAGACCAUCAAAGAGUCUCAAUGAAGCCAGCAAAGGGUAUCCUUUUCCAUGCUUCAGAAUCGUUGACUAGUCGGGGAGGGUGACGUCACAACUCACCGGUCUCUCAUUCUCUUUUAGCGUGGGGAUCAACCUUCAAAUAGAGAGGAAGAGGUGUGUACCCCUGUAGUAGCCGACGUCCUACAAUGCUUUAAAGCCAUCCCUUACAGGCAAACGGCAGCUUCUAGGCCUAGAUCUUCACUGAAACAACACUGAGCUAAAACCUCCUGACUCUUGGAUCACCGAUUUACUUCAUAUAACCCUCCCUUAGAGAACUCUAGAGAUCGGCAAACAAGACCCAAAACAACCAUCUGCCACACCAAGUCGAGAUGGGGAGGAAACCCAUACCCGACCAAUGAGAACGAUUUUCUUCCCCUGCCCAAAGAUUAGAGGAAGCAAGUAGAAAAACUCGGCGAACCCAAGAGACAACCGAAAGAACGAAAUUAAGAGAAAAUUUCUCCCUGUAAAAUGUUAGAGAGACUUUAGGUUUUAAUUUUGAUAUUUGAUUGAGAGGGACAACACAUUGAUAGUGAUUUUUAUUCUAAUUUUCCAUUGCAUUUUAUUUUUUUACCAUUAUUAAGAUUUUUUCAAAAGGGAACGCAAAUAAAUGAAAAG
rnacentral:misc_RNA from 1 species